GGGAGUAGAGCUCAGUGGCAGAGCAUUUGACUGCAGAUCAAGAGGUCUCUGGUUCAAAUCCAAGUGCUCCCU
rnacentral:tRNA from 1 species